rnacentral:misc_RNA from 1 species
GAUGAAGAACGUAGCGAAAUGCGAUAAGUAAUGUGAAUUGCAGAAUUCAGUGAAUUAUCGAAUCUUUGAACGCACAUUGCGCCCGCUAGUAUUCUGGCGGGCAUGCCUGUCCGAGCGUCAUUUCAACCCUCAAGCCCCCGGGCUUGGUGUUGGGGAUCGGCGAGCCUCCGCGCCCGCCGUCCCCUAAAUCUAGUGGCGGUCUCGCUGUAGCUUCCUCUGCGUAGUAGCACACCUCGCACUGGGAAACAGCGCGGCCACGCCGUUAAACCCCCAACUUCUGAACGUUUGACCUCGGAUCAGGUAGGAAUACCCGCUGAACUUAAGCAUAUCAAUAAGCGGAGGA